rnacentral:rRNA from 1 species
UACGUAGGGUGCAAGCGUUAAUCGGAAUUACUGGGCGUAAAGCGUGCGCAGGCGAUGAUGUAAGACAGGUGUGAAAUCCCCGGGCUUAACCUGGGAACUGCAUUUGUGACUGCAUUGCUGGAGUGCGGCAGAGGGGGAUGGAAUUCCGCGUGUAGCAGUGAAAUGCGUAGAUAUGCGGAGGAACACCGAUGGCGAAGGCAAUCCCCUGGGCCUGCACUGACGCUCAUGCACGAAAGCGUGGGGAGCAAACAGG